AUUGAACGCUGGCGGCAUGCUUUACACAUGCAAGUCGAACGGCAGCGCGGGCUUCGGCCUGGCGGCGAGUGGCGAACGGGUGAGUAAUGCAUCGGAACGUGCCCAGUAGUGGGGGAUAGCCUGGCGAAAGCCGGAUUAAUACCGCAUACGACCUGAGGGUGAAAGCGGGGGACCGAAAGGCCUCGCGCUAUUGGAGCGGCCGAUGUCGGAUUAGCUAGUUGGUGGGGUAAAGUCUUACCAAGGCGACGAUCCGUAGCUGGUCUGAGAGGACGACCAGCCAAACGGGGACUAAGCCACGGCCAGGACCCCUCCGGGGGGCAGAAGUGGGAAAUUUUGGCAAAUGGGGGAAACCUGAAUCAGGCCAGGCGGCGGGGGGGAAGAAGGCUUCGGGUUGUAAAACGCUUUUGUUCGGGAAGAAAUCCUCUGGGCUAAUACCCCGGGGGGAUGACGGUACCGGAAGAAUAAGCACCGGCUAACUACGUG
rnacentral:rRNA from 1 species